rnacentral:rRNA from 1 species
AGAGUUUGAUCCUGGCUCAGGAUGAACGCUGGCGGCGUGCCUAACACAUGCAAGUCGAACGGAGACGGAGCUGGAAGGGACAGUUUACUGUAACGGAAAGAUCUGUCUUAGUGGCGGACGGGUGAGUAGCGCGUGGGCAACCUGCCCUGUACCGGGGGAUAACACUUAGAAAUAGGUGCUAAUACCGCAUAAUAGGGAAUACUGCAUGGUAAUCCUUUGAAAACUCCGGUGGUACAGGAUGGGCCCGCGUCUGAUUAGCCAGUUGGCGGGGUAACGGCCCACCAAAGCGACGAUCAGCAGCCGGCCUGAGAGGGUGGACGGCCAUACUGGGACUGAGACACGGCCCAGACUCCUACGGGAGGCAGCAGUGGGGAAUAUUGCACAAUGGGGGGAACCCUGAUGCAGCGACGCCGCGCGAGUGAAGAAGUAUUUCGGUAUGUAAAGCUCUGUCAGCAGGGAAGAAGAAAGACGGUACCUGACCAAGAAGCCCCGGCUAACUACGUGCCAGCAGCCGCGGUAAUACGUAGGGGGCAAGCGUUAUCCGGAUUUACUGGGUGUAAAGGGAGCGUAGACGGCAGGGCAAGUCUGGAGUGAAAGGCAGGGGCCCAACCCCUGGACUGCUCUGGAAACUGUCCGGCUGGAGUGCAGGAGAGGUAAGUGGAAUUCCUAGUGUAGCGGUGAAAUGCGUAGAUAUUAGGAGGAACACCAGUGGCGAAGGCGGCUUACUGGACUGUAACUGACGUUGAGGCUCGAAAGCGUGGGGAGAAAACAGGAUUAGAUACCCUGGUAGUCCACGCCGUAAACGA